UACGUAGGGGGCAAGCGUUGUCCGGAUUUAUUGGGCGUAAAGAGCUCGUAGGCGGUUUGGUAAGUCUGGUGUGAAAUCUCCACGCUCAACGUGGAGGGGCCACCCGAUACUGCCAUGACUGGAGUCCGGUAGAGGAGUGUGGAAUUCCCGGUGUAGCGGUGAAAUGCGUAGAUAUCGUGAGGAACACCAGAGGCGAAGGCGGCUACCUGGACAAUUGCUGACGCUCAGGCACGAAAGCGUGGGGAGCAAACAGG
rnacentral:rRNA from 1 species